GACAGAGGCCUCGAGCGUUAGGCGGAAUCACUGGGCUUAAAGCGUGUGUAGGCGGAUCGUUAAGUACCUUGUGAAAUCCCACGGCUCAACCGUGGAACGGCUGGGUAUACUGGCGGUCUUGGGCCUUCAGGGGCGACUGGAACAAGCGGUGGAGCGGUGAAAUGCGUAGAUAUCGCUUGGAACGCCGAAGGUGAAAACAGGUCGCUGGGGAUGUGCCGACGCUGAGACACGAAAGCCAGGGGAGCAAACGGGAUAGAA
rnacentral:rRNA from 1 species